rnacentral:rRNA from 1 species
UACGUAGGGUGCGAGCGUGUCCGGAAUUAUUGGGCGUAAAGAGCUCGUAGGCGGUCUGUUGCGUCCGCUGUGAAAACUCGGGGCUUAACCCCGGGCCUGCAGUGGGUACGGGCAGACUAGAGUGCGGUAGGGGAGAUUGGAAUUCCUGGUGUAGCGGUGGAAUGCGCAGAUAUCAGGAGGAACACCAAUGGCGAAGGCAGAUCUCUGGGCCGUAACUGACGCUGAGGAGCGAAAGCAUGGGGAGCGAACAGG